rnacentral:rRNA from 1 species
GCAGGCUGCAACUCGCCUGCAUGAAGUCGGAAUUGCUAGUAAUCGCAGAUCAGCAUGCUGCGGUGAAUACGUUCCCGGGCCUUGUACACACCGCCCGUCACACCAUGAGAGCCGUCAAUGCCCGAAGUCCGUAGCCUAACCGCAAGGAGGGCGCGGCCGAAGGCAGGGGUGGUAAUUAGGGUGAAGUCGUAACAAGGUAAC